rnacentral:rRNA from 1 species
AGCAGCAGCCGCGGUAAUACGAAGGGGGCUAGCGUUGUUCGGAAUUACUGGGCGUAAAGCGCACGUAGGCGGAUAUUUAAGUCAGGGGUGAAAUCCCGCAGCUCAACUGCGGAACUGCCUUUGAUACUAGGUAUCUUGAGUAUGGAAGAGGUUAGUGGAAUUGCGAGUGUAGAGGUGAAAUUCGUAGAUAUUAGCAGGAACACCAGUGGCGAAGGCGGCUAACUGGUCCAUAACUGACGCUGAGGUGCGAAAGCGUGGGGAGCAAACAGGAUUAGAUACCCCCGUAGUCCCUGUCUCUUAUAC